rnacentral:rRNA from 1 species
UACGUAGGGUGCAAGCGUUGUCCGGAUUUAUUGGGCGUAAAGAGCGUGUAGGCGGCCAGACAGGUCUGCUGUGAAAACUCGAGGCUCAACCUCGAGACGCCGGUGGAAACCGUCUGGCUAGAGUCCGGAAGAGGAGAGUCGGAAUUCCUGGUGUAGCGGUGAAAUGCGCAGAUAUCAGGAAGAACACCCGUGGCUAAGGCGGCUCUCUAGUACGGUACUGACGCUGAGACGCGAAAGCGUGGGGAGCAACAGG